UACGAAGGGGGCUAGCGUUGUUCGGAAUUACUGGGCGUAAAGCGCGCGUAGGCGGUGAUCUUUGUCAGAGGUGAAAGCCUGGGGCUCAACUCCAGAAUUGCCUUUGAAACGGGAUCGCUUGAGUCCGAGAGAGGAUGGCGGAAUUCCUAGUGUAGAGGUGAAAUUCGUAGAUAUUAGGAAGAACACCGGUGGCGAAGGCGGCAUCCUGGACCGGCACUGACGCUGAGGAGCGAAAGCCAGGGGAGCAAACGGG
rnacentral:rRNA from 1 species